rnacentral:tRNA from 1 species
UGGGUGAUCGUCCAACGGUAGGACUACGGACUCUGACUCCGUCAAUCGAGGUUCAAAUCCUUGUCACCCAGCCA